rnacentral:snRNA from 1 species
AGCUUUGCGCAGUGGCAGUAUCGUAGCCAAUGAGGUUUAUCCGAGGCGCGAUUAUUGCUAAUUGAAAACAAAGUAAAAUGAGACACUGGAGAAGAAUCAAAGGGUAUGAUGCUUUUCCUUCUUUCUCUUUCUCUCAAAAUUGUUUUUGAAGAUGCUAUAUCA